rnacentral:rRNA from 1 species
GACGAACGCUGGCGGCGUGCUUAACACAUGUAAGUCGAACGGUAAGGCCCUUCGGGGUACACGAGUGGCGAACGGGUGAGUAACACGUGGGUAAUCUGCCCUGCACAUCGGGAUAAGCCUGGGAAACUGGGUCUAAUACCGAAUAGGACCACAGGACACAUGUCCUGUGGUGGAAAGCUUUUGCGGUGUGGGAUGGGCCCGCGGCCUAUCAGCUUGUUGGUGGGGUGAUGGCCUACCAAGGCGACGACGGGUAGCCGGCCUGAGAGGGUGUCCGGCCACACUGGGACUGAGAUACGGCCCAGACUCCUACGGGAGGCAGCAGUGGGGAAUAUUGCACAAUGGGCGAAAGCCUGAUGCAGCGACGCCGCGUGGGGGAUGACGGCCUUCGGGUUGUAAACCUCUUUCACCAUCGACGAAGGUCCGGGUGUUCUCGGGCUGACGGUAGGUGGAGAAGAAGCACCGGCCAACUACGUG